AUGCAGUCGAGCGGAUUGAUGGGAGCUUGCUCCCUGAUAUCAGCGGCGGACGGGUGAGUAACACGUGGGUAACCUGCCUGUAAGACUGGGAUAACUCCGGGAAACCGGGGCUAAUACCGGAUAACUCAUUUCCUCGCAUGAGGAAAUGUUGAAAGGUGGCUUUUAGCUACCACUUACGGAUGGACCCGCGGCGCAUUAGCUAGUUGGUGAGGUAACGGCUCACCAAGGCAACGAUGCGUACCCAACCUGAAAGGGUGAUCGGCCACACUGGGAUUGAGACACGGCCCAGACUCCUACGGGAGGCACCACUAGGAAAUCUUCCCCAAUGGACGAAAGUCUGACGGACCACCGCCGCUUGAUUGAUGAAGGUUUUCGGAUCGUAAAGCUCUGUUGUUAGGAAAGAACAGGUGCCGUUCGAAUAGGGCGGCNCCUUGACGGUACCUAACCAGAAAGCCACGGCUAACUAC
rnacentral:rRNA from 1 species